rnacentral:lncRNA from 1 species
GGGACAGCCCGAUUCAUUCAUAAACAUUAUGGAAACCAGAGACCGUGCCCAGGAACGAACACUGUCCAAAUGAGGGCUGGAGAAAAGGAGGGCCCCGUGCGAGCCCUGGAGAUGGAGGCGAACCGGAAUCAACUCCUCUGGGACCAGACUCUUCCCUGCAGUCCAGUCUGGGGGCAGAGGGAUGAAGAAUUUGACAUCUAUAAACACUGAAGCUCAAAGUGACAGAAUCGCCUGUCCCAGGGACACAGAGCUCACUCUCCUGUGGCACUGCCCGGCUCUGCUGAUUGGCCCUGUCUGUGGGACCUGGCUGUGAGGCUGCAGCCUCCGACCUCAUCCCAGCUGGCCCUGGCGAGGAAGAAGACAGGCCUCUCUGGCUGGGGCUCCUCUUCUGUGGGGCCCCCAGAGCCUUCCAACUCCUGGGAAGGCGGAUUCUGCAGAUGUGACUUUGCUCUGAAGUGGCCCCAUUGUGCUCUGGCCAGCACCAGGGAGGUGGGGACAGUGUGGCGAGGAGGCGGGUUCUGAGCUGUGCUGUGAGGAAGGUCAUCUCUGUCCCAUGGACAGGCACUGGUGGGUGGGAGGGGGGCAGGAGCCCAGCCUGGCAUGGUGCCUCGGGCCUUGGCAUUUCCCACGUCGGGAUUAGGGUUUGGCCAGACUUCCUGUGCAGGUUGGGCCUCCUGAGCCCUGGGGGCCCAGGAGGAGAUGUGCGAGCCGCAGGGACACUCCGCCUGUCUGGUGGACAAACAAGAUACCUAUUCAGGGAAGGCAAAAGCAAGAGGCCCAGGGAAGAGCCGCGGGUGCCCCAGCCCUUCCGUCCUGCCUUCCCCGGCCAGUGCCACAACCCAGAGCCCACAGCCCUCGGGGCACAGCCAGACACACAAGGACCCACGCACGCGCCCCACAGCAGGGGAGGCCCUGUGAACAAGCGGUGUCCUCUCUCCUGACUUGACCUUCCUACAAACACACGACACGGCUUUGUGUCCUAAAGUCAAUGCAGUCAGUUAACCUGGAGAAACACAAGGUUAAAGGGUGGCACUGGUCCAAGGGCGUCACAGCAGUCACCAAUGCCAAGGUGGAGGAUCUGCCAGGACAGGGAAGAGGCGGCGGCCGGCGGCAGUGGAGGGGCCUGCAGGGGGCAGUUGGCAGGUCCGUGCGUGGUGCCACUGGGCUGGACAGACCAGGCCUCCGUCUUGGGUGCUGUCCUCGGAGGUGGACAGGACAAAAGACUUGCCUCCCUGAACCAAAGAGCCAGGGUCCAGGGUCCUAGCUAGAGACCAAGCUGGGACUUGGACAGAUGGUCAGAUGGACGUAAAGGGAAUCUGAGGCCCUCUGUGGCCAGGCUACUCAAAGGUAUUGUCUGUGGACCAGCAGCAUUUGUCUGAUGUGGGCUGUCUCAGAACUGCAGAGGCAUGGUCCACACAGACCUACAGACUGGAGCCUGGUCAGCCAUAUACGUCUGAAGUCUUCAGGGGCACUUCCCUGGGAGCUUCCCAGAUGAGGGUUUCCCACCAGUGAGGCGUGGAUCAUAAGAGCACUCGAUUUUAGCCGGGCUGGGUGCGGUGGCACACACCUGUAAUCCCAGUGGCUCGGGAGGCUGAGGCAGGAGGAUCACAAGUUCAAAGCCAGCCUCAGCAAAAGUGAGGCCCUAAGCAACUGAGUGACACCCUGUCUCUAAAGAAAAUACAAAAUGGAGCUGGGGACGUGGCUCAGUGGUCGAGUGAUCCUGAGUUCAACCCCCAGUACCAAAAAGAAAGAGUUCUCUAGGAAAUGUGAGGCUGGGAGGCUCCUGGCGAGGCCAGCCCGGCUCGUUCCCACACUCGGGUGGGUUACAUCCCCGGUUCCAGGGUGGAUUCCCUCAUUCAUCUCACAAAUGUUUAUUGUGGCACCAGGCUGGCCAUUAGGGACAUGAUAAUAAGUGACACUCAGACAUGGUCCCUGCCCUCCUGGAGCUUUCAGGUGGAUGGACUGUCAGAUAAGGCUUUCCUGGAGAAGUGUUGCCAAGUUGCAUUUUAAAGAGGCCACCUUGGUGAAAAUGGAAAUGACUUCCAGUCAGAGGGAACGGCACGUGCCAAGGCCCUGAGGUAACCGAGGAUGGAUGAUUGUGGAGCUCAAAGGUCAGUAUGGCCAGAUGACAGAGAGUGAGUGUGGAAGGCAUUUGUAUCAGAGGAGAUGAGCAUAAACAUCUCCAGCAAGCCAAGUUCCUGGUGCCUACCACACCCGUUGAUAGGUCUCGAGAAUCCCCGAAUGUCAGAAAUGGAAGGAAUCUUGGGCUUCAUCCACAUCAGUGCUUUGAACCUGGCUUUGUGCCAUAAACUAACUGCCAAUGUGAACUGGGUCACCAUUUUCUUAUCUGAAAAAUGUUGGAGAUACAAGAAGUGGGGUAUUUUGCAUAGGCUGGGUGUGGGUCACAAAAGGCUUCACUGAGAAGUCAGAACACAUGCUAGGCUGCUAUAAAAAUAGACCCCCAAAUAACAUGCUUAAAACAAGAAACCGGGGCUGGGGAUGUGGC